AGCAGUCGCCGCGGUAAUACGUAGGUCCCGAGCGUUGUCCGGAUUUAUUAGGCGUAAAGCGAGCGCAGGCGGUUAGAUAAGUCUGAAGUUAAAGGCUGUGGCUUAACCAUAGUACGCUUUGGAAACUGUUUAACUUGAGUGCAGAAGGGGAGAGUGGAAUUCCAUGUGUAGCGGUGAAAUGCGUAGAUAUAUGGAGGAACACCGGUGGCGAAAGCGGCUCUCUGGCUUGUAACUGACGCUGAGGCUCGAAAGCGUAGGGAGCAAACAGGAUUAGAUACCGCGUAGUCCCUGUCUCUUAUACAC
rnacentral:rRNA from 1 species